GACGAACGCUGGCGGCGUGCUUAACACAUGCAAGUCGAACGGAAAGGCCCCUUUGGGGGUACUCGAGUGGCGAACGGGUGAGUAACACGUGAGUAACCUGCCCUUGACUUCGGGAUAACUUCAGGAAACUGGGGCUAAUACCGGAUAGGAAUCCUUGCUGCAUGGUGGGGGUUGGAAAGCUUCGGCGGUUUUGGAUGGACUCGCGGCUUAUCAGCUUGUUGGUGGGGUAGUGGCUUACCAAGGCUUUGACGGGUAGCCGGCCUGAGAGGGCGACCGGCCACGAGGGGAGUGAACUACGCCCACGCAUGCGGCGGGGGGCGUGAGUGGAAAGUAAGGCACGGCGGGGGGAAGCUGGAGCCACCAAGGCCGCGUGGGGGAUGAGGGCAUUGGGGUUGUAACCCGCUUGCGGCAGGGGGGAGGAGUGUGGUGAUGGGACCUAAAGAAGAAGCACCGGCUCACUACGGGCAAGCAGCCGAUGUAAUAAUCGAAGAGACCUCGCCUGAUG
rnacentral:rRNA from 1 species